rnacentral:rRNA from 1 species
CUACGGGUGGCUCCAGUGGGGAAUAUUGGACAAUGGGCGCAAGCCUGAUCCAGCAAUGCCGCGUGAGUGAAGACGGCCUUAGGGUUGUAAAACUCUUUCGCUAGGGAAGAUAAUGACUGUACCUAGUAAAGAAGUCCCGGCUAACUCCGUGCCAGCAGCCGCGGUAAUACGGAGGGGACUAGCAUUGUUCGGAAUUACUGGGCGUAAAGAGUUCGUAGGCGGACUGACAAGUUAGAGGUGAAAUCCCAGGGCUCAACCCUGGAACUGCCUUUAAAACUGUCAGUCUAGAGACCGGAAGAGGUUAGGGGAAUACCUAGUGUAGAGGUGAAAUUCGUAGAUAUUAGGUGGAACACCAGUGGCGAAGGCGCCUAACUGGUCCGGUACUGACGCUGAGGAACGAAAACGUGGGGAGCAAACAGGAUUAGAUACCCGGGUAGUC